rnacentral:misc_RNA from 1 species
GGAAGCACACGUUUUGAUGACGUCAUUCUUCACAGGAAAUUCGUCCAUGUUUUCAUAGAUCGAUCAGAAUGAGAAUGCCUGAACCACUGUUGGUAUUCGGUGUCUGUCUACGACAAAACCUGACUUGCAAUCGUCGCUGUUGAGGCCAGACGGAACUAGAAAUUGAGGCAUGCCUUACCUACGGGACAAAGGCAGAUUUUUAUGGUAUACAAUUGUCAGCGGAGUAAUUUCCAAUGGGAAAGUGUCAAUCUUGUUGUGAGACCCCUGGAACCUCGACCAGCUCUAGGUACUCCAGUACACCACGGUCAGCAUCCGCAGCAGGGACUUAUCGGGGCAGGGCAGGCUCCCAGCCCCAGGCCCUCAAUUCAGAUGCUGGGGGUGGGGAUGUCCUCAGUCAUCUAACCUCCAGCAGGCAGCCUCAACCAAUCUCAGACAAAAAAAUGUUCACACCAUACCCAAAACUACCGCCAAUCAAAAAACAUAGCAAUGGCGAUAACAAAAGAUUAUCUUUCAUAUCUAGGGACUACUCUGAAAGUAAGAUACAAACACUGUUUGAGCAAUACAAGGACCCAGGGGAGGAUGCAAUAUUAGCUGAAGGUAUAGAAAAAUUCUGUGCAGAUUUAGAUGUAAAUCCAGAUGAAUUUAUAGUGUUGGUGCUAGCAUGGAAGUUCCAGGCCAAGACAAUGUGCAAGUUUACAAGAGAGGAGUUUGUCAAUGGUUGCAAAGCAAUAAAAUCAGACUCCAUCAAAGGUAUUCAGAGUAAGUUUACAGACUUGUUAACAGAAGUAAAGGACAAGCAAAACUUCAAGGAUCUGUAUAGAUGGACCUACAAGUUUGGGCUGGAUGCAGAGUCGGGACAAAGAACACUUCCCAUUGAUAUGACAAUCAGUCUUUGGAAGCUGGUCUUCUCACAGACAGAACCCCCUAUAGUACAGCGGUGGCUUGAGUUUCUAGAUGUCCAUCCAAAUAUCCGGGGCAUCCCACGGGAUACCUGGGACAUGUUUCUCAAUUUCACUGAGCAGGUCGGUGACGACCUAGGCUCGUAUGAUGACACCGAAGCCUGGCCUAGUCUCUUUGAUGAUUUUGUGGAAAAUGAAAAUGACAGACAGAAUCAAAACGUAAAAACGCUAUAGUAUAUUAGCUGUUUGAACAUUCCAUAUUAUUAAAAAGGUUGCCAUUACAUUGCAUACAUUUAAUAUUGAGUCUUGUCAGGGUUUAGUGGGAUGCCUUUUGUUGAAGUCUAUACAUACAUGUUACCUUGCAAUGUUUGCUGUUUAAUUCUCUAAGUAGCUGUAACUUUUUUCUUAAUUGUAAUUAAACUUCAAAUGUGCAAUUUUAGCUGAUGAUAUUUUAAGAUUAAAUUUAUUUUUAUUAAGUUAUAACCUUCUGCAAAUAAAUAUUGUAAAUCACCAUAUUUUUGAGUGAACUAUAUGCCUAUAGUUUUUAUUCUUAAAUAAUUGAAAUCAUAAUUGAGAGGAUGUUAUUUCAAUUUUGAUAGUAAUUAUCUCUGGAAAUAUUAUUUAAAGAGUAGUUUCCUAAGAAUUAAUACAGAAAUAAGUGAUAUAAAGUAAUGACUAGUGGAUUAGGCAGCAUGCAUAAAUAGUACUAGUGGAGUAUAUUGAAUACAAUGUUAAACGCCCUAACAGCUAAUUAGUGGCUACCUGGUAUACAGUAACUGAUCAUGUUUAAGAUUUCAGCAGCAAUUAUGACAAAAAUUGGAAUUGUGUCACACAUAUAUUGAUUUGUAAAUUUUUGUUAAAUUUAUAAUGAAAAAAUGUACUGGAGAGCCCUUCAUGUAAUUUGUAAUAAUUUAUUGUUGUUGAUUUCCACAAUCGUGUUGACAUGUCUUUAUACAUCCGACAAUACUUCAGGAGCUAAAUGAAAAUAAUAAGUAAGUCAUCAUUCCAUGAGUGUGAUCAGGUUGGGUGUAACUGGUUUGGAACUUAAGCACCACUACAUCCAAAGCCACAGGUGUCAAAUAUGUUAAGAGAGUUUCUCAAAAUGGGAGACAUUCAAAGUCAUAUUUACUUCUUCACUGUUUUGGAGUAAACAGCUUUUAUGUUGACAUAAAAAAAUAUACUAGACACAUGCAAGUAACAGGUCAUAGAAAUUGUUCAGUGGUUAUAUUUAGCUUAAAACUCAUGAUAGUUGUCAGGGUUGGUGCUUAAGCCGUCUAGGCACCUUUUUUACACUCGAAUCAUGACAUGAAAAAAAUUAGGAAAUUUGAUCUGUUUCACAAAAUUAAACAAUGCAAAUUUGUUCUAGCAACAUAUAUAUGUCAAUUUGCUAUGAUAAUUUUGAAAAAUGUUGCAAAAAUUUAAGUGGUACACUGUAAUGGUGACUUGAUGUUGUGGUACAAUUAGGGUAGACAACAUUUGGAUGAAAUGCCUGAUUUUCUGAUAUAUACAGCACUUGUAAUACUGUAAAGGUUAAACCUCUCACUGUAAUAAUAUGACAUAUACAGAACUUGAAGUACUGUAUAGGUCAAACCUCUCACUGUAAUAGUAUGAUAUAUACAGCACUUGAAGUGCUGUAUAGGUCAAACCUCUCACUGUAAUAGUAUGACAUAUACAGCACUUGAAGUACUGUAAAGGUCAAACCUCUCACUGUAAUAGUAUGACAUAUACAGCACUUGAAGUACUGUAAAGGUCAAACCUCUCACUGUAAUAGUAUGACAUAUACAGCACUUGAAGUACUGUAAAGGUCAAACCACUCACUGUUGGUGCAGUGUCUAUGUAAUGUUUAGAUUGUUACAAGGGAUCACCAUGACUAUUCCAUUAUCAAAUUGCUCACUCAUGCUAAAGUACAUGUAUAACUUGUAGCACAGCUUCACCUAAUAUUUCUAUUUAAACAAAAUAUCAAUUAUGCAUAAAACUUAUUGUCUUUGGAUUAAUUUAAACAUUAUUGGAGAAGGACUGAUUUUGUUGUUUAAAGCUGAACAUCAACAGUUUUUACAUUGUCAAGGGAACACCUAGGACUUGUCAGCGUGGAUCACUCCCUCCCUCCCCUCAGUAUGUAGCUGUUGUAUAUAUAAGCAAACCAGUAAAUCUUUUCGGUAGCAAUAUUUCUUAACAACUGCCACUGGGGUCAAUGUCACAGUGAAUAAACAUAACAGUUACUUUAUGAAAAAACUGUAGGAUGUCAAUAAGAAAUUGGAUAGUACUUAUGUAGUACCUACAUACAUAGAUGACAUCAUAAUUUUUCAUAUCAUUUUGGUGUAAAAAUUAUUGCUCAUGAAUUUCUUAAAUUAAAUAAAUGAAUUGGAUCCAUCAUUAUUAUUUCAUUGUGUCAUACGUAUACCUAGGUGUUUCUGCCUUGGAACUAUAACAGAAGAAGAGGUUUAGGUUGUCUCCCUUCAGCUACCCCAGUUGUGGUGAUCAUUGGUAGCAUAAUCAAGGAUUUUGUUUUAGGACACAUAGCUUUUUGUACCAAGACAAGCCAUGCAGGUUAUAUUAUACUACACUUACAUUGAGCAGCUUCUCCUUAAAGCACAAGGUCAUUUCAAAGCCAGGUGGCCUGUAGAUUUAUGGCUUAUAUUUUUGAAAUUCCUUACAAAAGAUCAUGCAUCAGUAUUUCAUAAUCAGCAACUGUAUACCUGUAUUUUAAUAUAUCAUAGGAAAAUCAAAACAUGCAAUUUAACAACAACUCUUUUACAUAAGAGUCUCUGAGUGAGAAUAUUUUAAAACUGAUUUUAAUCAAUGCCAUUAAAUGAUGUGUAGUUAAACUUAUUGACUGUAGAUCUAGGUAAUAACCCAAGUCUCUGCUAUUGGUUGAUGUCUCCAUUCACUACCUACAUAUUCAUGUAUAUAUUCUGAUAUAUGAAUAUACAACUUGUGUUGUCCAUUACGGUACAUAUCUCACCUGAAUGUACAUGACAAUCCUUAUAGUGCUGUAACACUGUCGACCGUGUAAGAUACUGAUCAGCUAUACAGUACGUACACUGUAGUGUGAGUGUUUCCACUGACCCCACAGAGACAUGGGGAGGGAGGUUUAGUGUAGGCAUCACUCUAAUGUGUACAGCUAUACAGUACGUACACUGUAGUGCGAGUGUUUCCACUGACCCUACAGAGACAUGGGGAGGGAGGUUUAGUGUAGGCAUCACUCUAAUGUGUACAGCUAUACAGUACGUACACUGUAGUGCGAGUGUUUCCACUGACCCUACAGAGACAUGGGGAGGGAGGUUUAGUGUAGGCAUCACUCUAAUGUGUACAGCUAUACAGUACGUACACUGUAGUGCGAGUGUUUCCACUGACCCUACAGAGACAUGGGGAGGGAGGUUUAGUGUAGGCAUCACUCUAAUGUGUACAGCUAUACAGUACGUACACUGUAGUGCGAGUGUUUCCACUGACCCUACAGAGACAUGGGGAGGGAGGUUUAGUGUAGGCAUCACUCUAAUGUGUACAGCUAUACAGUACGUACACUGUAGUGCGAGUGUUUCCACUGACCCUACAGAGACAUGGGGAGGGAGGUUUAGUGUAGGCAUCACUCUAAUGUGUACAGCUAUACAGUACGUACACUGUAGUGUGAGUGUUUCCACUGACCCUACAGAGACAUGGGGAGGGAGGUUUAGUGUAGGCAUCACUCUAAUGUGUACAGCUAUACAGUUUUUUUAAUCAAUGUGGUUGACUUUUUAUCAAACUGUUUUUAUCAUUUAGUGAUAAAUGUUAUAUGAUUAUUAUGUUAAUUGCCUUAUGCUUACAUCUGUUGCUGUUUUUCUGCUCCUUAUGUAUGCAUGUUGUUGAUAUAUGAAGAAUCUCACCCAUAUUCCUGACACUUAGUCUGUUACAGUUUGUGGUAUAACCAAAUCAAGUAUAGAAAUACUUCAGUUCAAAAUUAAAAAACACUCCAUUCUGUAAAAAGUCACGAAAUUUGGAAUUAUUUCAGAUAAACGCUGAGCAUGAAGUCAAGAUCCCAAUUUUAUUGCAGUUUCUGAAAAGAGUUGGAAGAAACUUGUUUUAAAUCUAUGUGUUUCCUGUGACCUUAAAGACACUACGUAAACAUUUUAGUCUUGGUGACUAGUUGAAUUCACUAGUCCUUCUUCACAGUUAUUGGGUUCAAUAUCUGGCUACUGUAGUUAUAAUAUACCCAGCACUAAGUAUUCACCUAGACGAUCAGAGAUCUGGCUACUGUAGUUAUAACAUACCCAGCACUAAGUAUUCACCUAGACGAUCAGAGAUCUGGCUACUGUAGUUAUAACAUACCCAGCACAAAGUAUUUUACUGAACUAGGUAGCUGUCAUGGACAUCAAAUCUUCCUAGUGUAAAGGAAGUAGGGUGAUAUCGCAGAAAACUUUGCAACCAACACUCAGUAUUCCUGUAUUUUCAGCUUUCUGGAAAGGUAUAUAUAUUUACCAGUUAAUGUAACAGCCAAAUGGUAGUAUAUAUAUUUACCAGUUAAUGUAACAGCCAAAUGUUAUUCUGAUCAGGACCAAUUGGACUAGAUGAUAAUCUUUCUGAAAUGGACUACUUUCUGACUAGAGGACUAGUACAGAACCCUGAGGAGGGGAGGUUAUCCCUAACCUAGUGUGUACAAACAGCCUUAGGUGGAUGUACCUAGCAAUUGUGUUACAGUUAUGAUGUUUUUAUUAUCAGCUUGAUUGAUAGGUUAUGUUAUCAGCUUAUCAUUGAUUUUCUCAGAUUGUACUGUUUUAACCUGUGACUGUAAGGUAAACAACUGUUUUGGUACAAGUGGAGCACUGCUUGCUAUAAGCCUGUCAAUAUGCACGUAACUUCAAUUAAGAAGAUAAGGUGAAAUGUAAUUUUUGAGAUAAAAAGUGGCAUGUAUCUUAACUCACAAGACUGUUCAAGGGGAACAGAUAUAAAUGUUGUUGUGUGACUAUGAUAGAACCCCUCAUCCAUUGUCCCAGUACUCUUUUGUACACUCAACUAUGUGCUGUAGAGGGACCAAUAUGUUUUGCCCUAAAUGUUGUGCCUUUCUGUACAUAUGUUUUCAAAAUAUUCAAACAUGACAGACAGCUGAGGAGAUGCAGAUAAAAUGUAUUAUGUAAAAUGGUUGAGACAACUUUUAUUUUACUCUCUAAGAAUGGAUAGGUAAUUUUUUUUAACGAAGUUUUAUUUCUUGUAUGAUUUGAGAGGUUUAUAAACCCACAUUCAAUCAUUGAAAUUAAUUACAUUAAAGGAACAAGAAAAAAGUCAUGGCUAGCUCUUUUAACUGAAUAGUGUUGUCGUCAUCAAUACUGAAAAUUGUUAGUAUUCCUCAACCUAAUGACUGACGACAGAGUAAACAAUAUCUUACUAGGAAGAGAAGGAAAACAUGAGUUUUCAGGUGGUUCUGGUACUAUUGCUGAGGUAGUGCCUUACAAACGCAAUUUGGUCUGAAAACACAAUUUUAUAGUUAGACUACGCUGAGCAGAUCACCAUCAGUCAUCCUUAUUUUGUGGGAUCGAACAAAGAGGAUAACAACAAAACAAUUCUUGUGCCAUUGUAUUAAAAUAUUAUUUUACUGAAGACAUUGUUUCCCUCCUAUCAUUGUGAGUUGACCUUUAAUCAAGUACAGACUAUCCUCUUUUGGUAACGCACAGGAGACAAGGUUAUGUUUCAAAACCAGCAGAGAAACAGAUUUCUGCUAAUGAAUGAUAUUUCUCACAUAGAAAUGCAGCUGUUGGCAUUGUUUAUACUGUAGAUAUCAGCUUCCCUAUACAUUUUAUGAUCAAUUAAUGAAAGUGAGAUUUGCACAAGUAUGAUUGGUUUGUAGUAAUGGAUACAUACAACUUCAUGUUGUGUCAUAUCUACUGUAGGAGUUGUCGAGUAACUGUGUACUGGAUACAUACAUACAACUUCAUGUUGUGUCAUAUCUACUGUAGGAGUUGUAGAGUAACUGUGUACUGGGUCCACAUCUGUACCUAGAUCAACUAUGGAAAUUAAUGAGGCCAUGGCUACCAUUGCCUAAUCUUAACGAGAAUUUUUAUCUUUUUCCAAAUUCAGGUCAGUCCUUUGGAGAUUGAAAAUAUUAGUCACACAGAUCUUCAAGUGUUGAAAUGUGUGAAUAAUUCAUUUGAGUCAGAACUUUCAUUUUCAUUUCAAAAGUAAAUUUGGACAAUUCAUAUGAAUUUACCCUGUUCGUUAUUUCCCAUUUUUUUUUUAUAGCAUAAACAUUUUAGAAAUAGAAUGUUUCAUGUUGAUUGACUGAAACAUUACCUAUCUUGUCCUAUAAAGCUUUUACUUAUUUUAUGAAAAAUGUUUUACAUGCAGUUUUUAGUGGAAAGACAUGUAUUUUAAACAAAGGUCAUCCUUCAAUGUAAACUUUUGGAAAAUUUGAGUCCGAAGUUAAGUUGAUUAUGUUGAGGUUUUUUGGGCCUACAUUAUGAGGUGGGUGUAUGAAUGCCAAGUGUUGUUUAAUAUAUAUAUAGUUCUGUGUCAAACACAGACUUAAAGGCUAUACUGAGCUUUAGAUAUCCUGGUUUGUAUAGACACACAGUGUGAUAGUUCUAGCUUGAGUGACAUAUAUCAAUAUGGAUUCUAGUCAUCUUAUACCCAGUUUGAUUUAGUAAUUAUUUCUACCUUUUAGACGUGUCCAAUAACAAUGCCCUGUAGAUCUGUUUUAAUUUGCUGCUCAACUUGGGCAUUAUGCUAUUGAGAUGACAUGGUUUUCUUAGUUUAUUUUUCAAAUUCAUUGACAAUCAUGGAUAAAGAACUUGUGUACCAAUAAACAAUUGUGAUAAAGCGGUAAAAAAAACUUAAAGUGAACCCUCUCAUCUAUCUCCUCCUGUCACCUGUGGUGGCAUUUUCCAAUCGCAGAUGAUGGAUUGCUGUAAUAAUGCCAUUCCAUAAGAUUAAUGAAUGAAUUUGUAACUUGUAUUGAUUUCUCCCCCUAAGUCGUACAUGUUAAGUAUUUACAUACAGUAGUUUUGUAGGUUGAUUAACAACCUUUCAAAGCAUGAAGGCUUCCAACACGUGUAGUGGCCCUGUAUGUCAAACACAAGUUCCUUAUCCAGGACUGAACGUCGUGCCAUGUGCCUAGACCAUAGUAAUGGGGCUGCUUGAGUUACCCCAGACAUACCAUAAAGUUUUAAUUUGCAUAAUAGUAUUCUUUCUUGUUUGAAAAAAGGUAAUAAAUUGCUAUGUUGAUCUCAA